rnacentral:rRNA from 1 species
AGGUUCGGUCCCAGCCUUAAGGUCAGUUUUUACCCAAUUUAUACAUGCAAGUCUCCGCACCCCCGUGAAAAUGCCCUUACAACCAAUUCGGGGUAAGGAGCUGGUAUCAGGCACAAUAUUUAGCCCAAGACACCUAGCCACGCCACACCCACACGGGACUCCAGCAGUAAUUAAUAUUGAACAAUAAGCGACAGCUUGAUUCAGUUAGGGUAAAAAGAGCCGGCAAAUCUGGUGCCAGCCGCCGCGGUUACACCACGUGGCUCAAAUUGAACUUUUUCGGCGUAAAGCGUGGUUUAAGAUAAUAACUCACUAGAGUUAAACUAAAAUUAAGCUGUGAAAAACUUAUUAUUAAGAAACCCAAAAACGAAAGUUACUCUAACUAAAUCAACUUGAACCCACGACAACUAGAACACAAACUGAGAUUAGAUACCUCACUAUGUCUAGUCGUAAACUUUAAUCUACUACCAAAUCGCCAGGGAACUACGAGCAAAGCUUAAAACCCAAAGGACUUGACGGUACCCCAUAUCCACCUAGAGGAGCCUGUCCUGCAAUUGA